rnacentral:misc_RNA from 1 species
UCGUAACAAGGUCUCCGUUGGUGAACCAGCGGAGGGAUCAUUACCGAGUUUACAACUCCCAAACCCCAAUGUGAACGUUACCAAUCUGUUGCCUCGGCGGGAUUCUCUGCCCCGGGCGCGUCGCAGCCCCGGAUCCCAUGGCGCCCGCCGGAGGACCAACUCAAACUCUUUUUUCUCUCCGUCGCGGCUUCCGUCGCGGCUCUGUUUUACCUUUGCUCUGAGCCUUUCUCGGCGACCCUAGCGGGCGUCUCGAAAAUGAAUCAAAACUUUCAACAACGGAUCUCUUGGUUCUGGCAUCGAUGAAGAACGCAGCGAAAUGCGAUAAGUAAUGUGAAUUGCAGAAUUCAGUGAAUCAUCGAAUCUUUGAACGCACAUUGCGCCCGCCAGUAUUCUGGCGGGCAUGCCUGUCCGAGCGUCAUUUCAACCCUCGAACCCCUCCGGGGGGUCGGCGUUGGGGAUCGGCCCCUCACCGGGCCGCCCCCGAAAUACAGUGGCGGUCUCGCCGCAGCCUCUCCUGCGCAGUAGUUUGCACACUCGCACCGGGAGCGCGGCGCGGCCACAGCCGUAAAACACCCCAAACUCUGAAAUGUUGACCUCGGAUCAGGUAGGAAUACCCGCUGAACUUAAGCAUAUCAAUAA